GCCAGGCUUGGUGGCACAUGCUUGUAGUCCUAGCUACUUGGGAGGCUGAGGCGGGAUGACCGCUUGAAGCCAGGAGUUCUGGGCUGGAGUGUGCUAUGCCUAUCAGUAUCCACACUAAGCUCAGCAUCAAUAUGGAGACCUCCCGGGAGCGGGGGACCAUCAGGUUGCCUAAUGAGGGGUGAAGUGGCCCUGGUUGGAAAUGAGGUAGGUCAAAACUCCUGUGCUAAUCAGUAGUGGGAUCGCGUCUGUGAACAGUCACUGUGCUCCAGCCUAAACAACAUGGUGAGAUCCUGUCUCU
rnacentral:SRP_RNA from 1 species